GAUGAACGCUGGCGGCGUGCCUAAUACAUGCAAGUCGAGCGAACAGACGAGGAGCUUGCUCCUCUGACGUUAGCGGCGGACGGGUGAGUAACACGUGGAUAACCUACCCAUAAGACUGGGAUAACUUCGGGAAACCGGAGCUAAUACCGGAUAAUAUAUUGAACCGCAUGGUUCAAUAGUGAAAGACGGUUUUGCUGUCCCUUAUAGAUGGAUCCGCGCCGCAUUAGCUAGUUGGUAAGGUAACGGCUUACCAAGGCAACGAUGCGUAGCCGACCUGAGAGGGUGAUCGGCCACACUGGAACGGAAACACGGUCCAGACUCCAACGGGAGGCAACAGUAGGGAAUCGUCCGCAAUGGGCGAAAGCCUGACGGAGCAACGCCGCGUGAGGGAUGAAGGUCUUCGGAUCGUAAAACUCUGUUAUUAGGGAAGAACAAAUGUGUAAGUAACUAUGCACGUCUUGACGGUACCUAAUCAGAAAGCCACGGCUAACUACGUG
rnacentral:rRNA from 1 species